ensembl:snRNA U6 U6 spliceosomal RNA
GUGCUCUCAUGGCAGCAAAGAUACUGAAACUGAAAUGGCACAGAGGAGAUUAGCACGGCCCUUGUGCAAGAUGACAGGCAAAUUGUGGAAGCUUCCAUAUAAUUUU